UACGGAGGGGGCGAGCGUUAUUCGGAAUUAUUGGGCGUAAAGGGCGCGUAGGCGGCCCGGUAAGUCAAAGGUGAAAUCCCUCGGCUCAACUGAGGAAUUGCCUUUGAAACUGCAGGGCUUGAGUCCGGGAGGGGGUAGCGGAAUUCCGGGUGUAGUGGUGGAAUGCGUAGAUAUCGGGAGGAACACCAGUGGCGAAGGCGACUACCUGGCCUGUUCUUGACGCUGAGGCGCGAAAGCUAGGGGAGCAAACGGG
rnacentral:rRNA from 1 species